AGAACCCUCCAUAGACUGAGCAGCUAGAUCACCUAAGCUGAUGGAGCUUUCCUGCAAUACCAGACACUGGCAUCCAUGAAGCGAAGUCUUAGGGUGGGCAUUUUGUGGAAAAGAGAGAGGAAAGAAGGAUUUCUUGGGGUUAACAGAAAGUGGAUGUAGAUAAAGGGAAUUCUCCAGUCUUGCACCGCUAACAUGGUGCAAUAUUCACAAACAGACAUGAUUCGUGCUUGUGGACAAAACUGACCUCGGAGCUGAGGAUGAGGGGGCAAAAGAAUGAAGAUUUUUGUGAGGAGGUGAAUGAAAGACAAGGAACCACAGAGGAGAGAGAAAUGGAGAGUGAGAGAAGCAAGGAAAUGAGAAGUGAGUA
rnacentral:lncRNA from 1 species